rnacentral:rRNA from 12 species
CGGGAAAAGGAUUGGCUCUGAGGGCUGGGCACGGGGGUCCCGGCCCCGAACCCGUCGGCUGUCGGCGGACUGCUCGAGCUGCUCUCGCGGCGAGAGCGGGUCGCCGCGUGCCGGCCGGGGGACGGACCGGGAACGGCCCCCUCGGGGGCCUUCCCCGGGCGUCGAACAGCCGACUCAGAACUGGUACGGACAAGGGGAAUCCGACUGUUU